GCGUGGGAAUAUGCCCUUCACUAUGGAAUAGCCUCGGGAAACUGAGAGUAAUACCAUAUACGCCUCGGGAAGGAUUAUCGUGAGAUAGCCGCGUAGAUAGAUAGUUGGUGGGGUAAGUGGCCUACCAAGUCUACGAUCUAUAGCUGGUUUGUAGAGGAUGAUCAGCAACACUGGGACGUGAGACACGGCCCAGACUCCUACGGGAGGCAGCAGUGGGGAAGUCUUAGACAAUGGGCGGCAAGCCUGAUCUAGCCAUGCCGCGUGAGUGACGAAGGCCUUAGGGUCGGUAAAGCUCUUUCG
rnacentral:rRNA from 1 species